rnacentral:rRNA from 1 species
UGUUUGGGAAUGCAGCUCAAAAUGGGUGGUAAAUUUCAUCUAAAGCUAAAUACCGGCCAGAGACCGAUAGCGCACAAGUAGAGUGAUCGAAAGGUGAAAAGGACUUUGGAAAGAGAGUCAAACAGUACGUGAAAUUGUUCAUAGGGAAGCGCUCAAUACCAGAGUCGCGGGAGUCGGAUCAUGGGUCCUUUGGGGCCCUGCACUUCGGCGCCAUGCGGGCCAGCAUCGGUUGAUGCAGCGGGAUAAGAUUGCUGGGAACGUAGCUCGACGUUUGUGGAGUGUUAUAGCCCGGCGAGUGAUACCGCUUGCUUGUUGAUCGAGGAACGCGCCUUUUAGUAGGUGAGGAUGCUGGCAUAAUGGUCUUUAGCGACCCGUCUUGAAACACGGACC